UCGGAGCGUGUGGUUUAAUUCGACGAUACGCGAAGAACCUUACCUGGGUUUGACAUCAAGGUAGUAGCAAGGUGAAAGCUGCGCGACCCUUCGGGGAGCCUUGACAGGUGCUGCAUGGCUGUCGUCAGCUCGUGUCGUGAGAUGUUGGGUUAAGUCCCGCAACGAGCGCAACCCUCGUCGUUAGUUACAAGUGUCUAACGAGACUGCUGGUUUCAAACCGGAGGAAGGUGGGGAUGACGUCAAGUCAGCAUGGUCUUUAUAUCCAGGGCUACACACCACGCUACAAUGGCCGGUACAAUUGGUUGCCACACCGCAAGGUGGAGCUAAUCCUCAAAGCCGGUCUCAGUUCAGAUUGUCGUCUGCAACUCGACGGCAUGAAGGCGGAGUUGCUAGUAACCGCAUAA
rnacentral:rRNA from 1 species